rnacentral:rRNA from 1 species
GCCGGCGGCGAUAGCACGUUGAAUACACUAGUUUACCAAUAUACCAAUAGUUCACUGAAGUGAAGAAACAGUUCGCGUGGUUGGUAUCCGGAUGAUGGGAUAACUAAACAACCUCGUACUGCUGGCU